AUAUUUGGGGCGUAAUUAGGUGACUAUUGUUUUUUCUAAAACAAUGUUUAAACGGGAAUCCAGUUUAAAUCUGGAACUGCCCCCGCAACGGUAACUGUGAGCGACAACCACCACUGUCUUCUUGAUGGGAAGGUGCUGUCAACGCGAUGAUCAGGAGUCCGGAGACCGGCCUAGUUCACUCGAGUACU
rnacentral:ncRNA from 2 species